AACAAAGAGUUACUUCGCUGCCU
rnacentral:siRNA from 1 species